rnacentral:rRNA from 1 species
AUUGAACGCUGGCGGCAGGCCUGACACAUGCAAGUCGAGCGGAUGAAGGGAGCUUGCUCCUGGAUUCAGCGGCGGACGGGUGAGUAAUGCCUAGGAAUCUGCCUGGUAGUGGGGGAUAACGUCCGGAAACGGGCGCUAAUACCGCAUACGUCCUGAGGGAGAAAGUGGGGGAUCUUCGGACCUCACGCUAUCAGAUGAGCCUAGGUCGGAUUAGCUAGUUGGUGGGGUAAAGGCCUACCAAGGCGACGAUCCGUAACUGGUCUGAGAGGAUGAUCAGUCACACUGGAGCUGAGACACGGUCCAGACUCCUACGGGAGGCAGCAGUGGGGAAUAUUGGACAAUGGGCGAAAGCCUGAUCCAGCCAUGCCGCGUGUGUGAAGAAGGUCUUCGGAUUGUAAAGCACUUUAAGUUGGGAGGAAGGGCAGUAAGUUAAUACCUUGCUGUUUUGACGUUACCAACAGAAUAAGCACCGGCUAACUUCGUG